UACGUAGGGUGCAAGCGUUAAUCGGAAUUACUGGGCGUAAAGCGUGCGCAGGCGGUUUUGUAAGUCUGAUGUGAAAUCCCCGGGCUCAACCUGGGAAUUGCAUUGGAGACUGCAAGGCUAGAAUCUGGCAGAGGGGGGUAGAAUUCCACGUGUAGCGGUGAAAUGCGUAGAUAUCGGGAGGAACACCGAAGGCGAAGGCAGCCCCCUGGGUCAAGAUUGACGCUCAUGCACGAAAGCGUGGGGAGCAAACAGG
rnacentral:rRNA from 1 species